GUUACAAAUGGGAUUAGCCCAAAUAAAUGGUUAAAGUUUAGAAUGCUGUGUUUUCAAUCAAAUUAUCUAUGGGUUUUACACACCUUACACAGCUCUAAAGUUGGAUUAAUAGCAUCCAUCUUUUUAAAAGUGUGUAGUAACUUAUGAG
rnacentral:rRNA from 1 species